rnacentral:rRNA from 1 species
UGGGGAAUCUUGGACAAUGGGGGCAACCCUGAUCCAGCCAUGCCGCGUGAGUGAUGAAGGCCUUAGGGUCGUAAAGCUCUUUCGCCUGUGAAGAUAAUGACGGUAGCAGGUAAAGAAACCCCGGCUAACUCCGUGCCAGCAGCCGCGGUAAUACGGAGGGGGUUAGCGUUGUUCGGAAUUACUGGGCGUAAAGCGCACGUAGGCGGACCAGAAAGUUGGGGGUGAAAUCCCGGGGGCUCAACCCCGGAACUGCCUCCAAAACUAUUGGUCUAGAGUUCGAGAGAGGUGAGUGGAAUUCCAAGUGUAGAGGUGAAAUUCGUAGAUAUUUGGAGGAACACCAGUGGCGAAGGCGGCUCACUGGCUCGAUACUGACGCUGAGGUGCGAAAGCGUGGGGAGCAAAGCAGGAUUAGAUACCCUGGUAGUCCACGCCGUAAAACGAUGUCAACUAGCCGUUGGGAGGGUUGCCUCUUAGUGGCGCAG